GGCUUCAUAGCUCAGUUGCUUAUAGCUUCGCGUCGGAAUCGCGAGGUCACGGGUUCAAACCCCGUUGAGGUCC
rnacentral:tRNA from 1 species